GACGAACCGUGCGAACGUUGUUCGGAUUCACUGGGCUUAAAGGGCGCGUAGGCGGCUUGCCAAGUCAGGGGUGAAAUCGUUCGGCCCAACCGGACAAGUGCCCCUGAUACUGGCAGGCUCGAGGGAGGUAGGGGCAUGCGGAACUUCCGGUGGAGCGGUGAAAUGCGUAGAUAUCGGAAGGAACGCCGGUGGCGAAAGCGGCGUGCUGGACCUCGCCUGACGCUGAUGCGCGAAAGCCAGGGGAGCAAACGGG
rnacentral:rRNA from 1 species